rnacentral:rRNA from 1 species
CUAUACAUGACUCUGCGCAUAUCAAUAAGCGGAGGAAAAGCUAUACCUACGCUUAGGAUGUUGAAGAUAUGCGCGACACGACUCUAUACAUGACUCUGCGCAUAUCAAUAAGCGGAGGAAAAGAAACUAACAAGGAUUCCCUUAGUAACGGCGAGUGAAGCGGGAAGAGCUCAAAUUUGAAAUCUUCAAGGUUUUACCUUGACGAAUUGUAGUUUAAAGAAGUGUUUUCUGUUGAAGUUUUGGUAAAAGUUCUUUGGAAUAGGACAUCGUAGAGGGUGAGAAUCCCGUAUUUGACCAUUAUUUUCAGCUGUGUGAUACACUUUCAAAGAGUCGGAUUGUUUGGGAAUGCAGUCCAAAAUGGGUGGUAAAUUUCAUCUAAAGCUAAAUAUUGGCGAGAGACCGAUAGCGAACAAGUACCGUGAGGGAAAGAUGAAAAGAACUUUGAAAAGAGAGUUAAACAGUACGUGAAAUUGUCAAAAGGGAAGCGUUUGACACCAGUGUUGUUUUCUCGAAAAUCAAUUAAAAAAGGCCGGAUUUUGUGUUGUAUUGACCUUAAAAGCUUUCUUCACUCUUUUCUUGUCUUUUUUAAUGCACUUUUCGUUUAACAAGUCAACAUCAGUUUCUUUUGUUGUAAAAGGGUCAUUGGAAGGUGGCUUUCUUUUCGGAGAAAGUGUUUAUAGCCUUUGAUCUCUGCAACCGGAGAGACUGAGGUCUGCAGCGUAGACUCUUCGGGGUUAGAUACAUUUGUGCUAAGUUAUAGCUUUUCAUAGACAACUUGUUGACUAUGUUUAGUCAUGUAGCUUACUCGUAAGUGCUAUUUUACCUACGCUUAGGAUGUUGAAGAUAUGCGCGACACG